rnacentral:lncRNA from 1 species
AAUUCUCAUCCUCGUUCUCCAGGUGGACGCCUGAUUCCUUCUUUAAUUCUUCAUCCUCGUUCUCCAGGCGGACGCCUGAUUCCUUCUUUAAUUCUUCAUCCUCGUUCUCCAGGUGGACGCCUGAUUCCUUCUUUAAUUCUUCAUCCUCGUUCUCCAGGUGGACGCCUGAUUCCUUCUUUUCUCAUCCUCAUUCUCCAGGUGGACGCCUGAUUCCUUCUUUUCUCAUCCUUAUUCUCCAGGUGGACGCCUGAUUUCUUUAAUUCUCAUCCUCAUUCUCCAGGUGGACGCCUGACUUCUUCUUUAAUUCUUCAUCCUCGUUCUCCAGGUGGACGCCUGACUUCUUCUUUUCUCAUCCUCAUUCUCCAGGUGGACGCCUGAUUUCUUUAAUUCUCAUCCUCAUUCUCCAGGUGGACGCCUGACUUCUUUAAUUCUCAUCCUCAUUCUCCAGGUGGACGCCUGACUUCUUCUUUAAUUCUUCAUCCUCGUUCUCCAGGUGGACGCCUGAUUUCUUCUUUUCUCAUCCUCAUUCUCCAGGUGGACGCCUGAUUUCUUUAAUUCUCAUCCUCAUUCUCCAGGUGGAUGCCUG